rnacentral:rRNA from 1 species
CAUGCAAGUCCGACGUGAAAGGGGAGCAAUCCCCCGGUAGGGUGGCAAACGGGUGAGUAAGACAUGGGUGAUCUGCCCUGGAGAUGGGGAUAUCCCUCCGAAAGGGGGGGCAAUACCGAAUAGUAUCCGGUUCCGUGAAGGGGACCGGGGAAAGGGAGGCCUCUGGUACAAGCUUCCGCUCCUGGAUGAGCCCAUGGCCCAUCAGCUAGUUGGUAGGGUAAAGGCCUACCAAGGCGACGACGGGUAGCUGGUCUGAGAGGACAACCAGCCACACUGGCACUGAGACACGGGCCAGACUCCUACGGGAGGCAGCAGUGAGGAAUAUUGCGCAAUGGGGGCGACCCUGACGCAGCAACGCCGCGUGUGGGAAGAAGGCUUUCGGGUUGUAAACCACUUUUGCCCGGGACGAAAAGGGAUGUCAGAACACGGCAUUUCGAUGACGGUACCGGGAGAAUAAGCCACGGCUAACUCUGUGCCAGCAGCC